AAGGUAAAGGGACAAGGAGCACUUACAGAAGUGUCCCUCAGCCCUAGAUGUACCCCCAGACCAGCAGCCUCAGCAUCACUGGGGAGCCUGUUAGAAAUGCAGGCUCGCAGGCCCCGCCCCACACCUACUGAAUCGAAACCUGCGUUUUAACAAGAUCCCAGGUGAUUUCAGUGCCUAUUAAAGUUUGAGAAGCCUGGGUCUGGGUCCGUGGUCCGCCCUCCGCAGCCCUGGCUGAACACUGGAAUCACCUGGGGAACUUUGCAAACACACACCCGUGGUUCAGACUUCAGGGGGCUGGGGGCAACCUAGGCAUCAGAGGGGUUUGCUUCUGUUUUGUUUCGCGGUUUAGCUCCCCAGGUGAUUCUAAGGGGCAGCAACCUCUGAGACCCCUGUCAGGAAGAAGGGACAGGCUGAAGGCUGUGGAAGGUAGAAGCCACCAGCGACUUGCCGUCCCCUCCCAAAGCACAGCGACGCAGUCGGGGGUGGGAGGCCGGGGAGACCCGGUGCCGGGGCAGUGCCCAGCCGGGUCUCCUUCCCGCCGGUGCGUGCGGCUGGGCAGAGACCGGCUGCGGAAGGACGAGGGCUGGGAGCCUCCUUCUCAAGAACCCCGACUGUCUGGACGCUGGGAGGCCGCUUCGGAUUGGGCCCACUGUCCUGUCCCAAAGGAGAUGCCUGCCAAAAGGAAGUAGAAGGCUCAAGUCAAGAGAAGACACAGGACUGAUUCAAGGCUGUGGGGUAAGAGCAGCCCCAAAUGGUUGGUGCCAAUCCCUUUCUGCUCACCUCAGCUUGAUGACAUGGAAAGGUUUAAACGUCUGUUGAGUCUUUCGCGGGAUGUGGUUAUUGAGAGACUGGGAGCUCUAAAGAGCCCACUCAAGACAAAGAGCAUGGGUCCUGUGAUCUUCUCAAUAAAUUAGCACCAAUUCUCUGCCAAGCACUGGGCUAAUAGGUACAGUGGGACUCAACUGUGUGGAGACUCAGACCCUGUCCUCCAAAGAUCUAGAAUUCUGCAAGAGAGGUAUAAUGUGCAAAUGUCGCUUAAAAAUAAGACCGCAUGUCAUAAAUGCCAUUAGAAAAAUAGAAUCAAAUUAAUAUUCCUGAAAAAUGAAGGAGAUCCUGAUACAUGCAACUAACUUGAAUGAACCUUAAGGACAUUAUUCUAAGUGAAAUAAGCUAAUCGCAAAAAGACUGUAUGAUUUCACAUAUGAUUUUCACUUAUUUGACUACCUAAAGUAGUCAGAUUCAUUGAGAUGAAAAGUAGAAUGGUGGUGGUCAGUAGAACGGGGUGGUGAUGCUUAAUGGGUACCGAGUUCCAGUUUUGCAAGAUGAAAAAGUUCUGGAGAUUGGCUGCACAACAAUAUAAAUACACUUAACAGUAUUGGACUGUAUGCUGAAAAAUGUUUAAGAUGGUAAAAUUUAUGUUAUGUGUAUUUUGCCAUGACUAGCUAUAAAAA